UGCGGUUAAAAAGCUCGUAGUCGGAGGUGUGUCUCGGACGGUCGGUUCGCCGCUUGUCGGUGCUCAACUGGCCGGUCCGGACGUCCUGCCGGUGGGGCUGUAAAAGGCUCCGUUAUCCUUCUUUGGUCCUCUUCAUUGAGUGCCUUGGUGGGCCGGCACGUUUACUUUGAACAAAUUAGAGUGCUCAAAGCAGGCCGUUGGUCGCCUGAAUACUGUGUGCAUGGAAUAAUGGAAUAGGACCUCGGUUCCAUUUUGUUGGUUUUCAGAACUCGAGGUAAUGAUUAAUAGGGACGGACGGGGGCAUUCGUAUUGCGACGUUAGAGGUGAAAUUCUUGGAUCGUCGCAAGACGAACCGAUGCGAAAGCAUUUGCCAAGAACGUUUUCGUUGAUCAAGAACGAAAGUUAGAGGUUCGAAGGCGAUCAGAUACCGCCCUAGUUCUAACCAUAAACGAUGCCAGCUAGCCAUCCGCCGAAGUUCCUUAUAUGACUCGGCGGGCAGCUUCCGGGAAACCAAAGCUCUUGGGUUCCGGGGGAAGUAUGGUUGCAAAGCUCAAACUUAAAGGA
rnacentral:rRNA from 1 species